AUGAACUUCACUCUUGCUUGCACUUGUAAUUCUACAACGUGUUUUGUUGAUAUUUUUGCGUUCCUAAAUGUUUGUAUAAAUCUGUGGAGAUGUAACAGGUUAAUUAAAUGUGAUGCUGAUCUUAAAAUAACUUUCCAAAGCCUGCAUGCCAAAUUCUUGGUAACCUCUGAAACCUGCUUACAAAAAUUUGAUAAGGGAGAGAGGAGAAAGGAUGGCUGUUUACAGUUAAGGAGACUGUGCUAUGAAGCUCACAGAAUGCCCAACUACAUAUGGGAUUAAAAGGAGUAAUUAUGUUUGCAUACUGGAAGACUUUAAUUUGAAGAACUUUGACCUAGGAUGUUGCCUAUAGAAUCAGUAUGGCAUAUCAAGGAGAGUGGGGGAAAGGGAGAGAAAUCACCAACAGGUUGAAGCAUUCUUUGUACAAGAACACCUUCGGAAGAUUCUUUCCCAAUCCCACUUCUUGUACGAGGAAGCAACUGUAGCAAAAAGCCUGGAUUUGUGAGCUUCCAUAGAAACAGUUUUAGAGGCUAUGUUGCAUUAUUCAUUAAUGUUGUGGAUAACAACUUCAACCUCAGGACUGUUGAGCCAGCACUUUCAAGAGCAGUAAAUUCCCUGAGGGAGGGAAGGAGAAAAAUUGUCCCUACCCUGAGGUUUGAAAAAUAGUCUUCACUACAGGAAGAGUUUGCUGAGGGGUUGUGUCUAAUGAGAAGAAAUUAUCUGAGAGGAUAAUCACCCCCUGCAACAGUUUUGGAAACCUGAAGCUCCCUAGAAGACUGCUAUAGAGAUUUUUUUCGUAUUCUUCCAUCCCCUGACGGGCACCUGCUGAAUCUUUGUGAGAUCCUGAAAAGGGGAAUUGGUGCUGUGGAAACAUUAUUUCUUUCUUUCUUUUUCUACCUGAUAUGCCUAUGGGAAAAAGAGAAACAGUGUCUUCCUUAUGGACAAUAUCGUGUAUGCAAACCAGAACACAAAAUUUGAAAUGAGUAUUUAGAGAGGCAGUGAGAAACAAGACAGGAUUAAAACUCCCUAAACUCUUCUAUUCAGCUGAUAUCUUCAGCUUAUAUUGAUUAUAAAAUUUUGUGGUUUGUUUUGGGAGGGACAGCAAGAGAGGUUAACUAAUAUUUAUCUGUCCCAGUUAUUAGUCCUUAGGAGUAUAUAGUAUGUUCCAGUCUUCUCAGUCUUGCAAAAAUUUUCUUUUGAAUGACAGUAACAGUUUUGUUUCUUGUUAAUAAUGUUUUUACUGCACUUACGGUGAUUUGGCCGUGAUAUCCUCAGAGAUACCUUGUUUGAUGUUCUUGUUCAAAAUUUGUAACACAGGGCAUCUGAUAACUUUUGUGAAAGUUUUACUUUAAUAUAUUAAAAGAGAGAAAAAAUAAAUUCUCAGUUUUCAGGGCUAA